rnacentral:tRNA from 2 species
GCCGAUGUGGUGGAAUUGGUAGACACGCUGUCUUGAGGGGGCAGUGGCGAGAGCUGUGCCGGUUCGAGUCCGGCCAUCGGCACCA